rnacentral:lncRNA from 1 species
CUUCAACGAUUUAAAGGUUUUGUUAGGACUUGGAAGGUGGGGAUUUCUGUCAUUUUCAGUCAAGAAAAAGUCGAACGCAUGCUGGGACUUUGUAGUCAAACGCAAAAAGCAAGAGAGACAUCAUCUGACAAUCAAUGUGGAAGUUCUUGGCUUUUUCUUGCAAUGUAUUUUGACUCUCGUUUCAUUUUCCUACAUAAGACUAUACUCGCAAACAUCUUGUAUAAUAAGAAUAUGCUAGGUACACAGUAUUAGAUAGGAUUAGACACUUAGAUUUGCUUACAUAUUGCAUUUCAUCCACCUGAAAUUCAAUACAGAUAUAGCUUUGUUUUGAGGUGUGAAGGAUAAAAACAUGGUGGUUAUAGCUGAUAAGAGUGGUGGUGGUGGAGGUAGUAAUCCACCAGGGCUGGGAAGCUAUGGCCUCCAAGUG